rnacentral:rRNA from 1 species
CCUACGGGGGGCAGCAGUAGGGAAUCUUCCACAAUGGACGUAAGUCUGAUGGAGCAACGCCGCGUGCGUGAAGAAGGCUUUCGGCUCGUAAAGCUCUGUUUGUACUGAAGAAAGAUAGAGCUAGUAACUGGCCUUUAUUUUACGGUAUUUACUUGGAAAGUCACGGCUCACUCCGUGACAGCCGCCGCGGUAAUACGUAGGUGCCAUGCGUUGUCCGGAUUUAUUGGGGGUAAAGGGAGUGCAGGUGGUUCAAUAAGUCUGAUGUGAAAGCCUGCGGCUCAACCGUGGAAUUGCGUCAGAAACUGGUGAACUUGAGUGCGGAAGAGGUGAGUGGAACUCCAGGUGUAGCGGUGGAAUGCGUAGAUAUAAGGAAGAACACCAGUGGCGAAGGCGGCUCUCGGGUCUGCAACUGACGCUGAGGCUCGAAAGCAUGGGUAGCGAACAGGAUUAGAUACCCGUGUAGUC